rnacentral:rRNA from 1 species
CUAAAUGACUCUCGGCAACGGAUAUCUCGGCUCUCGCAUCGAUGAAGAACGUAGCGAAAUGCGAUACUUGGUGUGAAUUGCAGAAUCCCGUGAACCAUCGAGUCUUUGAACGCAAGUUGCGCCCGAAGCCUCACGGCCGAGGGCACGCCUGCCUGGGCGUCACGCAU